AAAGGGCGAUCCAGGCGGGCGCACAAGCUGGCGAUGCGGAGAAGAGCACUGGCAGGGAGGAGGAAGCCGAUGUCCUUCGCAAAGUCUCUCUCUGGACAAACACACAAGAGGGAUGAGAAAGAAGAGGCUCCUUUCUCUCUCUCUCCCGGCUGCCAGAAAUAGACACAGCCGGCCCGCUUCCCUCCCCUUGGCUGGAAUCUCUCUUGGGAAGUUGAAGGUGAGUGAAUCGAUCGGUUUUUAUUCUGUCCGCUGCUGCAUCUUCUCGGGCUCGGCUUCUCUCCUGCAGGAGCAGCUGCUGCUCUUUCCUUUUCCCCUGCCUUCUCCCUCCCGAAAGUGGAUCUCGGUGAUGCUAAAUGUCUGACCAUAAGAGCCGCUUCAUCUUAAUUUAGCUGAUUAAAUUUACAAUUACUUCUGCAGUGAAAAUGGAUGACUCCCCAACCCCCCUCCCUGCUGCUCAGUGGGGGAUGCAUUACAGUGUUAAGGAAUAAAAAAAAAUCCUGGUCUCUCUACACAUUGUUGGAUUCCUAUAUAGCAUAACAGUCAGAGAUGAAUAGUGUGCAGCUCUUUGUCAACUCCGAAUCUGAUGCAGAUGGGCCUGAAAUGUCAUACACUGGGUGUGAGCAGAAGAGCAACUAUUGGAGAGAAAAAAAUGGGUCAGAAAAACUACACAACACUCGUGCAACCUCUGUUAUGCUACGAGGCUAAAAAAGGAACUGAGAGCUAUCUUUUCCCUGACAGAAGAGGAACUUGCUGUAUUUCCUGACCUAUAGCUUUGCUCUGUUCCAUUCCAAAUAUGAAAAAAACCGUCUCUUCUCCUGAGCGUUGGGGUAAGCUGGGAGCGAGCCCAGCAAAUGUUGAGUUGAUCUGGUGAUGUCAUAGUGGGAAGCACGUUUCUUCUGUACAAAUAGUCCUCAGUUAACAAUGGUAAUUGAGAAUGGAAUUUCCGUCCCUAAGCAAAUGUGGUUAUAAAGCAUGAUGUUAUGUGAGUGCAUCACUUAGCAAUAGCAAUCUCAGCAGUCCCUAUUGCUGAGGUUAAUUGAAUCCCACAGGUUAUUAGGUGAGGACCCAUCUCAAUCUAGGCCAGUGAUGGCAACUCUUUUUGGCACUGAGUGCCGAAAAGGGAGCGUGUGUGUGCAAUGCGCCCCGGAAGAGAAACUGCCUAGUGGGCAUGUAUGCACCAGGAAAUGAACUUCUGGUUUCCGGCAUGUGCAUGCACCCCGACCAGCUUGUCUUAUGGUUACUGGGGUGCAUGCGCACAUGACGAUCAGCUGGGUGGCACGCAUACACACAACGGAAAAUGGAAGACCAUGUGCAUGUGUAAAAAUCAGCUGAUCAACACACGCGUAUGCACGCCAGAAACCAGGGAGAGGAUUGGGCGAUGCUGAACAUGCCAGCCAACAUAGCUUCAUGUGCCACUUUGGGCACACGUGCCAUAGGUUCACCAUCACAGAUCUAGGCCAUUCCUGACUUGGUCUCUCCCAGCCCCAAGCUCCAGGAAGGCAAGGGACUUCCUCUUUUGCCUACUGUUGAAUUCCACCCCCUCCCCACCUGUCCCCCACCAACUCUUCCCUUUAAGCCACUCACCUACCUGCUACUGUCGGCUGCCCCACUGCCCAAUUCUGUCACUCCACCUACUGUACUGCCCCCUACAACCAUACUUGCUGGAACCUUCUUUCACCCCAUUGCCUUUUGCAUUAGGUCAGAUGGGGUUAUUUGCACUCUGUUCAGAAGCUCCAUUUACGCCCUAGCUGUGGCUUCCAUUUGUGCCUCACUGAGGGCUGGAAAGGAUCUUCUUCAAUGCUGGUACAGCCAGGUCCUUUCCCACAGAGGGCUUCUUUUGUGAAAGAAAGCUCGGGCGGGGGCUUGAAUGGAGGGCCUGGCUGGCUGGUGUGUAAAUGCUGUGGUGGGUAUAGCCAGGCAGUGGGGGAAGUUAGCAGCAGUGGGUAGGUGAGUAGCCAAAAGGUGGUCAUAAGGGUAGGUGGGCACAGGUGGGCCUACAUUUUAUUUAUAUGACAGUAGAGAUGUUGCUGGAACUUCAGGGAUCAGUUGUAAGUCCUUUCAUUCAGUGCAGAGGUGGUAUUCAGCCAGUUCUCUCUGGUUCAGGUGAGCUGGUAGUGGCGGCUACGGGAGGUUCCACCUACCCAUCCCGACAUAAUGCGCGAGCACUGCGCAUGC